AUUGAACGCUAGCGGGAUGCUUUACACAUGCAAGUCGAACGGCAGCGCGGACUUCGGUCUGGCGGCGAGUGGCGAACGGGUGAGUAAUGUAUCGGAACGUGCCCAGUAGCGGGGGAUAACUACGCGAAAGCGUAGCUAAUACCGCAUACGCCCUACGGGGAAAGCAGGGGAUCGUAAGACCUUGCACUAUUGGAGCGGCCGAUAUCGGAUUAGCUAGUUGGUGAGGUAACGGCUCACCAAGGCGACGAUCCGUAGCUGGUUUGAGAGGACGACCAGCCACACUGGGACUGAGACACGGCCCAGACUCCUACGGGAGGCAGCAGUGGGGAAUUUUGGACAAUGGGGGCAACCCUGAUCCAGCCAUCCCGCGUGUGCGAUGAAGGCCUUCGGGUUGUAAAGCACUUUUGGCAGGAAAGAAACGUCGCGGGCUAAUACCCCGUGGAACUGACGGUACCUGCAGAAUAAGCACCGGCUAACUACGUG
rnacentral:rRNA from 1 species